GAUGAACGCUGGCGGCGUGCCUAAUACAUGCAAGUCGAGCGAACAGACGAGGAGCUUGCUCCUCUGACGUUAGCGGCGGACGGGUGAGUAACACGUGGAUAACCUACCUAUAAGACUGGGAUAACUUCGGGAAACCGGAGCUAAUACCGGAUAACAUGUUGAACCGCAUGGUUCAACAGUGAAAGACGGUCUUGCUGUCACUUAUAGAUGGAUCCGCGCCGCAUUAGCUAGUUGGUAAGGUAACGGCUUACCAAGGCAACGAUGCGUAGCCGACCUGAGAGGGUGAUCGGCCACACUGGAACUGAGACACGGUCCAGACUCCUACGGGAGGCAGCAGUAGGGAAUCUUCCGCAAUGGGCGAAAGCCUGACGGAGCAACGCCGCGUGAGUGAAGAAGGUCUGCGGAUCGUAAAACUCUGUUAUUAGGGAAGAACAAAUGUGUAAGUAACUAUGCACGUCUUGACGGUACCUAAUCAGAAAGCCACGGCUAACUACGU
rnacentral:rRNA from 1 species